GUAGGUGAACCUGCGGAAGGAUCAUUACAGAGUUCUUGCCCUCACGGGUAGACCUCCCACCCUUGAUAUCUAUUCUCUUGUUGCUUUGGCGGGACGCAUCUUGCCACGGGUUUGGCCCCGUGAGUGCCCGCCAGAGGCCAAAAACUCUACUGUCCUUGACGUCUGAGUACUAUAUAAUAGUUAAAACUUUCAACAACGGAUCUCUUGGUUCUGGCAUCGAUGAAGAACGCAGCAUCUGACUGACUACGUG
rnacentral:misc_RNA from 1 species